CUGCCGCCUCGCUCGGUCCUACAGAAAUCAGUCUUACAAGCGACAAGACAAGCACAUUUUCUGGAACAAGAGAUUGGGAGAGGUUAUGUUAUCCUCAGCACGACUUCUUCGUUGGUGUGGCAUUUCAGAAACAUAUCAGACACGAGUUUAACAAUCCGCCCCUCAUCCCACUUGGAUUCCCCGGACUCUAGGAUGCCGCGUGAUUAGUUCGAGCUUAUCCUAAUUAACAUGCAGCGAUACCUCCUAAUCCUCCAAUUACUGGAGCAACAUCUUAGGGAGCAUCUGAUGGCCGCUCAUUACACAGGGGUGAGUUCAAAGGAAAUCUACUCCCGUGGAGCUGUCAGGUGGAGAUAUAGAGAGCAAGACUCCACUUUGUCCCAGAAUAUAUGAGACAGGAAGAGAAGACAAAAAGACCGAGCAGAGGGUUGCAGAAGACGAAGAGGAAGCAGUGAUGGUAUUUGCCGACAUUCCCUGCCCAUUUAUUCCUAAUGGAUUUGGCGAAUCCAGCCCGACAUCGGCCAACUUUGACUGUCUUAGCAUUUGCUACACUGUUGGCUGAAGUGGCCGUUCUCAUUCAGCGACAAAGCUCGAGAGGACAGCUUAAAACAAAUCCUGUUUUGGUCAUGCUAGGGGUUUACAUGAAGGGCAAAGCCGAUACGGUUGGUUUCGCUGGUCAAGUACGGUGACAAUUGGAUUGGCAUUAAAGCAGCUUUUUGUACAAAUGACCGUGCGAGACAGAUCAAUUGACUUUCAGCCAACAGCAUGAGACGAUGCUAUGAACUACUCUGCUGGACACGGAGGGAUUUUUAGGCUAUUUAAGGUGCCUCGAUGAGAGGAGAGGAACAUCUUUGCUAAACAUCUUUGCUUCAUUUAAUAGUAUACCUUUUAUUAUUAAUACUAUUAUUAUCAUCAUUUAUAAAUGAGGAAAUGUGAAGCCCCAGAGUAAUCUGACAGAGAAGCAGGCUUGAUUCUAAUUAGAUGAGCGUCUGAAUUAAGUCAAGUUCUGUGUACUCACGUGGAGUCUAAUUAUACCAGUUUAAAGUUAACAGGCCCCUAGGUUAAGGUAGUAUAUGGUAUAUAACAUAUGGUCUAAGAUUUUUCAUUUAUUUCAUUCUUUUACUUUUCUAACGACUUCACUGAGCGAUUAAGAAACAUGAAUAGUGUGCUGCAGGCAUGCACUCGCUUACUAAAUCACUGAGCUUUACGUUUAAAGUCAGCAGUUCUAACAGACAGUGAGGUUGAGCCUUUAGUCUAAACACAAACAACAACACAAACAAACACAGGGAAUACAGAAUGUGCAGUUCACAGUAUGUUGCUUCAAACUGCCUUUUGUACAAUAUUAGGAUGAUGACUGAAAAUAAGAAAUGUAACGUGGACCUUUAAGCACGUGAGGUUCAUUCGAAUGUUAAACACAGACAUAGCAAACAUAACAAAAACAGGACUUUUAGGUAAAUCUAAUUUUAAUACCACACAAAUAUUUGACUUUUUAAUCAAUUAUUGAAAAUGUCAUUCUCCUACUACCUUAGCUAUCAUAAAUGUCAGGGACUUUGGCCAUAACCACUUGCACGUGUGCUCUGUGAUAUUACCACGGACCUCAAAUAUCAACGUGUGUCAAACCGACCAGACUUCUGUGUUGAAAAUCAUCACUGGAUAUGAGAGCUGGGUUUAAGACUGUGACCCAGACACCAAACCAGAGUUUUCAGUUGAAGAGUUAACAAUUUCCACGGCUGUCACAGUCAGAGGUUUGCCUUUUCUUUUUCUCUAUCACUCAUAUCGUUGCCCCAUGAAUUCAGCCGCCCCGUUGAGGUUGACGUAUUGUGGCAUCUGAGGGAAGAUAUUAACCGGAAAGAAACCUAACUGUGGUGCAUGCCACUGUAAGACAGCUCACAAUGCUUUGUUUACCCAUUCUACUUGCUAGAUUCACAGACUCCCUGUGACUCCACUCCACAAAAUGAAAUUCAAGUUGAAGGUUGCACUGGAGGAGAUCCAGCGCACGUUACCAAGGCACAAGUGCAAGAUGACAGAACAGAACUUACAAACGGUGAUCUCCAAAGAACAGCUACGCUGAAGGCAGUCCAGAGACACUCGGCGAGUGAGCUGCCAAAUUUAAAUCAGGUGAGGUUUUAAGAUUUUUAUGGGCGGAUCGCACAGUGCGUUCCAGGCGACUGAGUGACUGCUGAAUGUUCUACACCAACUAAAAUGCUGUCGUGCUUGCACAGCCAGUUAAAUGGCUGUAUAACUUAACUUUUCUAGAAAUCAUUGAAAAUUAGCACUCUUCCUUUAAGGAUGUUCAGUGAUUUCAGCCUGGCCUCAAGUCUUAGAUCAACUGCCAUCACAGUGUUUUAGAUUGAGGUCCUUACUGCUCACUAAAAAUGUAAAAAAAAUAAAAAAUAAAUCAAAGACGGGAUUAUGGAGGACAGGCAGGCAAACACAUUGGUGCUUUGAGAAUACUGGAGGGCAAGAUGACUUAACAAAUGCACACAUAAAUAUGUCCAUCUGACCCUCCAUAAUUUAUAAAUAAUAAUGAACAAAUGAACAGCUGUGACUUACAAAAAUUGCCAGUUUUACAUAAAAAGGUUUUUACAUAAAAGCCACAACUCACUGCAGAGGUGCGAUCCACAGCUUCAAGUUCCUUCUAAUCAAAGAGCAGAAUUUGUGGCAGAGCUCAUCAGAUCACAUCGUGCACAUUGUGCAAAUACAGAUGGCCAUAUUCCCACUCGCUGUGCUGUAUGCACGUUCUUGUGGAUAAUUAGACAUUAAGGCGAACAAAGCGGCGCUGCUACGAUAGGAUACAUCCCUCAGGAGCGACUCCUCGUCAGUGCCCUGUGCACUGGGCUGUUUCUAUAGCUUGGAACCUUUGAUCAAGGAACAAAGAGGCAGCUGAUGACUUUGACCCCAGCUGAAGUUUUAUCUUAUUUUGUGAUGUCAUCUUAAUCUGGUCAAGGGUGUAAAUUGUGAGAAAUAGAUCAAAAACCAAGACAGUGUUUAAAUAAUUCAUGAAGAUGAAAAAACAAUGUGUUUGACAGCAGGGCAUGAAAGGAGAGGGGUUAGCGCGGUGAAGGUACUUAGAUUUUCAAUCGAUAAUUCACAGAUGGUAAAGCAAGAAGAGCCUGCUGCGGUAGUCUUAAUUCACAAAGCAGUAUCACAUAAAGGAAGUAAUACAGCAUACAAAUGAUGCAUGGAAACACAUAUACAUGCUCAAUAGUAAUAACAAGAGUGUUUACUAAAAUAUGACCCAUUUAAUGUAGGAUAUAGACCAUAGAAAAAUAAGUGCAAGAUCUACAGAAACGUAUUCAACAACCUCUGAGUUUGCUCUCGCGUGCUCGACCUGGAACAAACCCAGAUUUAAGGAAAGUUUCCUUCAAUUUAAAGUAAAAAAAAAAAAAAGAAGAAGAAAAAACUCAAAGUAGCUUUAAUAAUAUUCUAACAGAUGACUGGAUCACAAACUUUGUUCUAGUUUUGCAAAUCUACCUCUUAACUACCAGAAUGAAAACUGAUGCUGGUAAAAAAGUAACAUCCAAUUUUUUGGAGCAGUACUGAAAACAGUGCAAGGUUUUCAAACAGUAUCAGUGCCAGUAUGAUACGACCUAUUGCUUUCGAACAUAUGUUUACGGUUUUCAAAGUAUUUAAUCGAUUGUUGGGAGAAAAAAUAUGCCCAAAAGUUCUCAGAUUUAAAUGGAUGGGAGAGCUAGAAUGUACCAACAGAAUGACAGCUUGAAAGAAGUUGCAAAAUUCUUAAAAUGUGCUUUAACCAUUAAUUUAUCACCAAACUGAAGUGAACUCUGUUUUCUUUUAAAUGAUAUCUUCUUUAUACCCAAUACAGUAUUUUUAUCUGUAGGCAUCUGAGUAAGAGGAUUGCCAACUACUUACCCACUAAAGGUCAAUCAUAAUUUUUCAUCUUUUGUCUCACUCCUCUGAGCACAUUUUUAACACUAUGAAAAAAAAUCAAGUACAACUUCAUCCAAGGAGACUGCUAUCCUAUUUUUACCCUAGUGUGACUGAAGCACAGCAUGAGGGCACAGGUGUGUGUUGGCUUUUAAAAUAAAAGCCCUUGGAUUAUUACUGGAAAUGCAGUAUGCUUUAAAAUCUGCUAAAUUUUCAAUUUAAAAGCACUCACUGGUCAACAAGCAUUUUCUACUGGGAUUUUCUCAUGUUUACUUCAACAAAUUUCACUUGCUGACUCCAAAUCUGAAAAAUGUUUUUAUCUCAAACAUCACGUUUUGUUUUGUUUUUUUUAAGUUAUAGUUUUCUAAAUGUUGGACAACUAAGAUGAACGGACAGAAACGGCGAUGCAUUUCAGCAUUUAAGAACAAACUCUGAUCUCCAGAAAAGUGAAGCCAAAAUUAAGGAAGGUGUUUUUGUUGGUCUUGAAAUCCGUGAAACUGAUGCUUGACAACGACUUCCAAAAGAAACUGUAGCAGCACAAUGGGAAUCAUUCACACAGGUUAUCCAGAGUUUUCUUGGAAAUUAAAGAGCAGAGAAUUAUGCUGAGGUUGUGGAAACAUGCUGAAAGUACACCAGUUAAAAAAUGUCACUGAAGAUGCACAUUCUCAUCUCGACUUUUCCCCCCCAAAUCAGGGAGAUGUCAGCGAUGAAAACAGGGAAAGAUUUUAUCAAGAUAUAAAAAGUGACGGAAAAUCUGUAUCAAGGAAAAUUUAAUCUAAGCACCACGUGUGACCACUGUUGUUUCUUGGAUGUGCAGCACAAGUGCAAAAGCAAGUGCCUCAAACAUUUUUGAGCUGGUCUUGUUUUAUUUUGAGCUGCCAGAAAUAUGCUUAGACGCAGAUCUGGUAUCAUUCGUUUAUCGUCAAGACAGUUUUGGUGGGAAAUAGUUCAAAUUCCAAACAUUGUGUUGAUUUAUUACUAUUAUUCAAAAGUGAUGAAAUGUCAAUGAUGGGUAUCUCAAAAACUUGAAGUGCAAGAUUAAAUCGGAUCUCAUAUAAUAUCAGUGUAAUAAAUAGAUAAACUGGUAUAAAGUUCCUAGUAGCAAACAAAAAAUGUGUUUUGUAGUAUUUAUAGUAAGAUGACGAAAGCCUAAGUCUUGUGGUAAUUAUAGGCAUAAAAACAUCCAAUUACUUACUGGCAAACGCUUUGACCCUUCAGCUUUUUUUUUUUUUGCCAAUCUUUUAAGCUACAAGCACCAAUCAGCAAAGUCUGACAGCCAGCGACACUAAAGACUCUUGGUGCGUCUAACGGGAACCAUCAGUUUCUUAAUGGAGGAAGGAAAAAAAAACCUUAAACCCUAACCUGCACCACACAAUGCAACAGAACAGGCAGGAGCAACAACCCCACUUCAUAAAAAUCCCAUCGUUUAGCUAAAUCUUAAAUUACAUUCAAGCUCCUUGUUUCAGUCUCCACCCCUCUCCAGGGCCCACUUGGCUGCAAAGCACUUUUGAAAAAUAUGGAAAACUAAUUACAGCAGCACAAGACCAAACAAGGACAUACUUAGAAAAAGCACGGAUUAAUAAAGCUGAUAAACAUUUGACAGAUGUAAUUAAAUUAAAUUCAAAGCGAGGUAGAGGGGGGAGCAAAAAGAGUAGUACUGUUGAUACACUUGUUACUAAAAUGUUGCCAUGUUUAGAGGAUCUGUUUGGCAGCUCUGAGUUAGUAAAUUUCAAGGUUGUGAUUAGGCUGAAUGCUGCAAACCAGAAGGGUCACCCAUCCAAUAUUGGAGCGUUGUAAACUUGUGGGAUAAUUUACCUGCAAGUGGGCUUGAGGAGACCAUGUGAGUCGAGAUGAAAUGGGUCAAUAUCAAUUUAAUGUUUGAAAAUGGAUCAAUUGAUCCAGACCUUCAGUAUUAUAACCCAACAUUUUAAUGCUCCAGUGACUUCAAUGCCAUCCUCAGCCCGAGAAUGAAAUCGGGAGAGAGAAUCGAUGCAUGUUUGCUUCAGCAAUAAAUAUUAUUUUCUGCAGCUCUCUGCCGGCUUGGAAGACUUCAUGAUUGAUGCUGAAGUUUUUAAAUUGCUACAACAGGCUAACCAUAUGUAUGCGCCCCCUACAACCUCUGGCGUGUAUACAGGCCUAUACAGUCCUUUCAGACAGAGUUUAUGUUAAAUUCGUCAGAUCUGACACUAGAGGCUUCCAUUAACACCCUGACAUUUCACGCAGUGCGGCCCAACAGGAUGUGCGAAUGUCAGCUCGCUGUGAAUAUCUGAACACGUGCCAGACAUCUGACAUAACAUCAGCCCGGAGUUGAAUGCUGGUAAAAGAAAAGGCCAUUUCCUGUCACGUGACUACAGAAAUUCACAAAAACCAUUCACUAACAGUGAAUAAAACCUACACAAUAGGGAAGGCGAAUUAAAUGCAAGCGCCAUUAUCUGAAGACAAAAGCCUUCUCCUGUGUAAAGGAUAAUAUUGCAUAGAGCGUAAAGGCUGAUGCUUGACUGACUUAGCCUGAGAAUAAAAGUAGCUGCAGUGUUGUUAUACCAGGCCUAUAAAAAUACCAAUGAGAGAAUGUGAUGGAUGACUACUCAACCAGAUGUAACCACGGUGGAAUACAAUUUGUUAUGAGAUUUAAGGGAUCAAUAAUUUCAAUAUGAGCUUGAAAUGUUUUAAGUUUGAGAACUAAAAUGUUGCACAAAGUGCUCUGCGGACCACUGGUGUGUCCUUCAGUUGCGCACACACAGGGCCAUACACCCCAAGAACAAGAGGUCUUCUACCUAUCUAAAUAUACCAGACAUACAGAUUAUCACAUAGACGAAGUGUCAGGAAACAAACAAGCAAAGAAGAACAUCUAAAAAACUAAAGACUCAUCUGCAGUGGCAUUGACGUUUGAGCUGCACAAGUAAAGAGAAGCUCACUCAGCAAAAUAGGUCAUAACUGGGCAGAAAAUUAAAAAGAUAAUAGAAAAUGUUCAAUGACUGGCUCUUUGCUGACUCUGUCCAAGUGAGGCAGGCUCCGUGAGGAAAAAUGUUGCCCAUCCCAGUGUUGGAGCAUGCACAAGACUGCAGAUUCCUUCUUAAGAUGAGCAAUACAAUGACUUGUGUAUCAUUUAAGCCAUUUAAAUCUUGGACGAGUGCUAUUACUGUCUCUGUGAUGCAGAAAAUUACUGGAAAUAAAAAAGGGAACUACGCCACUAUUCAAAAAACAAAUAUAAUUUUUAAUUUUUUAAACCAUACGCUUACAGUGUUGUCAGAAAGUCCUGUGUAAACACAUUUUACUUGCUAAUUGUGUUUUAGUGUGUUUUCUAAGACUUUUAAACAAUACACUGAUAACUGACCAGUAAAUGGACUGGUUUAUAUAUAUAGUGCCUUUCUACUCAAGUUGACCCCUUCCCACUACAAGUCUUAUUUACCCUUAAACAUUUAUUCAUACAGUGCUAUGGCUAGGUGAACUGUCCAUCAUUCACACUCACACAAAUCAGGCAGGCAGUUGGGGUUCAAUAUCUUGCCCGAGAAUAUCCUGAUCGGUGAGUGGUAGUCGACCCCUUCUAACAUCUGAGCCACGGGCACCUCUGGUAACACUAGUAGCUGGGCUAAACACACUCUGGCCUGAUGACCACUAUCCAUGUUCAGUGCAAUUACCGCUUAAACAAAACAUUUUCGGGAUCACCGCUUACACAUUUACUUUGUAGCACACAUUGCCAAAAUCGCAAGAAGUCCCUGAUGACAUAAAAGACAAUCACCCGGGAAGGGUUACAAAGCAAUUUAUGAGGCUCUCAAAGUCCACAGGUCAACGAUCCACAGCAGCAAAGAUUACUGGAACAAGAGUGAACAGCAGGAAUUGCCAAACUUCCCAAGAGCAAGUCUCAAAAGAUGCAAGAAAUGACAAGUCUCUCUCCUUAAGAAAUGUCUAUUUCUGACUCCACUAACCAAAACACACUGGGCAAAAAUGAUGCUCUUGUGCUUACAGAAAUAUUGUGAUGGCACAUCACAACCAAAAGCAAUAAUUGGAUUUCACAAAUGCUUCUAUAAUAUGUUUCAAACCUAUUUCAAUGUGAGAAUUAAGGAGUUGCAAACAGAUAUGCUUUAACCACAGUUACAAGUAACAUUCUGAGUACCACAGUCUUUCUGUUUCAGUCUGCUGAUGGUAACAGGGGUGCACAAUGAGAUUUAGGUGCAAGUUUGUGAACUUUUUGUCACAAUGCAAAUGUGUCCAAACAUUCAUACUGGAUACACUAUUUUUCUGGCAUGCUUUCUCACAUAAGAACCUGUGUUUACGCAGGUUUUUACAUUUAAAAAACCAACAAACAAAAAAAAAACAUUUGAUACAGUUUAGUUUAGGGGGGAAAAAAGUAGUAAGUAUGAGGUUGAAUACUUUGUUAUGCUACUGCCAUGUGCAGUUAUAUUACAGCCACUGUACCUUCUUAGUUAAAGCUUUAAGAGCCUAAUUAAUGGUUAUCUAAGGUUUUGGUACCUUCUUUGAUCUGAUCUUUUAAAAAUAUGAAAACACAAAUCAGCCAUGAUCUUCCCUGACGUCUUUACUAAACCGAGAGUUUGAGUCUCGAAAACAAGGAGAAAGUUGAAUUCUCUCUGUGACAUUUUACCUACACUGACUAACAGAGGUUUGUGCAGAGAAGGGGGAUGAUAGAGCUACAGCAUGACAGGAGGGCUGAGCAUCUACCAGUGUGAUGCCAAACUAGCAGCGCCGUCUCCAUGUAAUGCUUGAGGGACAGCUUUACUUAAGAGGAACAGGCCUAUGUAAUCAGACCCCCAGCCUGUGAUUAAUGCAGCUGUCUGUCUUCAGGCCUGUGCAGGUCAGCACAGCUCGGCACAGCUCACCCAAGACGCUGUUUACCGCACGCCAUGUUGCCUGCAGCCAUGGAAAUAAGCUGAAUCUUUUCCACGUAGAGAGCCAGGAGAUGUGGAAAAAAAGCUAGCAUCCAACAAAAUGUGAAAAACAGCCACAAUAACAAACUGCAUAAACCCCGACUGUAUGUAAUGCCUAAGCUUUGUGCCGUAUGUCUUUAAUCAGUGGCCAGGAGGAUGUUUUGUUCCAUUUCUGCAGUUCACCUUCUUUUUUUGGAAAGCAAAGGGAGUCUUACGGGCAGAACAACUUUAGCUUACCUUCCCCUCGAGUGAUGCACGGCUGAGCAAAGGAUGGAUAUAUGAGGCAUGCCAAGCAUCGUCUAGUGCUAACAUCAUCAGAAGUACCUCCCUACCUGUCGGUACACUGUAUUAAUGAGCUAUUAGGUGUUUGUGGAUAAACAAUUUACAGUGUUGGCUUAUUUACCGCAUGCUCAGGGAAAAGUGCAUCUGGGUUGGUAGGCUCUACUCGCUAGGGAGUCCAUCCAUCUGCUGCCACCACCACGCUAUUCAUUCUAGCACUCGGACAGAUUUACACAAACCUUUUGUCGUUAGUCUGACAUGCCUAUUUAUAAUGUGAAACACUCUUAAAACAAGAGACCUGUGCAGGGUGUUGCCCCCCUCCUUUCUGUAUAAUUUACAAAGUCUUUAAGUGGAUUUUAAAUCAGCUCAAGCUUUUGAACAUUCUUAAGGUAUGUUCCUGGAAGAUUAAUUUCAGGCAGUCUGAAUCGAUGCCUCUCUUGUGGUUUUAUACCUAAAGUCGAUGUGGGAAUACAAUAGUAUGUGGUCUAGCACUGAGCACCAAACAGGAUGCUUGGCAAAAGAGGUGACAGGUGACUUACGGAUAGCGCUGAGAAUCACGUCACUACUGUGUGUUUUGAUAAUGAUGAAGUGAUGAGAACAGGUUGAAAAGAAAACCAGCUUUUAUUUCAAGUUUAAGCACAAGUGCUUGAAGUCUUCGCCUUUGUGGUAGCUUCACCUACACCAGAUGGUUCCAGGACCACAUUUUGCAAUGACACAAACACACGCACAGACAUAUGUGUGCGCUUACACUUGCACAAACAUACAGGUGCACCCACACACGUGCUAUCAGCUUCUGUCGACUUCUCUACCUCUUGAUCACGGUACGUGUGACAUACCUGCCAAAUUGGAAUUAUCAUAAGCUAAAAUA